rnacentral:rRNA from 1 species
UACGAAGGGGGCUAGCGUUGCUCGGAAUCACUGGGCGUAAAGCGCACGUAGGCGGCUUUUUAAGUCAGGGGUGAAAUCCUGGAGCUCAACUCCAGAACUGCCUUUGAUACUGAGAAGCUUGAGUCCGGGAGAGGUGAGUGGAACUGCGAGUGUAGAGGUGAAAUUCGUAGAUAUUCGCAAGAACACCAGUGGCGAAGGCGGCUCACUGGCCCGGUACUGACGCUGAGGUGCGAAAAGCGUGGGGGAGCAAACAGG